CUUUAAUAAUAUCAACAUCAUUAAGCCACUCCAAAACCAUGAAGCAUAAUUUGGUUCCAAAGCUGGUAGGAAAUAUUUGUCUUAAUAUUACAUCUACCCAUAGGAUCUAUUGCUGGUGCUGUCUUAAUUCAAAUUCCAUUUGUAACAAUUAAAGAUAAAACAUAUAAAACCAAAAGAAGCACAAAGUUUUUAUAUACACACACAUGAUAUUACAUUCUUAGAAAUUCAGAAAAUUAUAGAAAACGCUGAAGGAAAACAAAAGAAGAAGGAAAAAAAAAAGUUUUCUUACAUAGAAUGGCAAUGGCAUAGAGAGAAGUAAUCAGUCGAAGGCUCCCCGUAUGCAUAGUGGAAGGUGAAGUCCCUGAGGUGAUAUGUGUCAAGAGCAGAUGAAGAAAUAUGGUUGCUUCUGCUACUGUUGCCUGUGCUAUUCAACAUUUACAGGUUGGUCCAAUGUGUGCUCCAACAACUGUGAAAAGAAGCUCAAGAUUUUGAGGAAUCAGUAAGCAUUAACGAACAGGUCGAUAUGAAGCACACUUGUCGUAUGAACUCUCAUGGAAUGUAACUUAGAAGAUAAAGGGAAAACAAGGUAGAAUUUACUGUAAUAUGUAAAUCUUAUGCAACUUUUUUCAGUUAUAUCUUUGCUUGAAUACUGG
rnacentral:lncRNA from 1 species